AUUGAACGCUGGCGGCAGGCCUAACACAUGCAAGUCGAACGAGUGGCGGACGGGUGAGUAAUGUCUGGGACACUGCCUGAUGGAGGGGGAUAACUACUGGAAACGGUAGCUAAUACCGCAUACCAUCAGAUGUGCCCAGAUGGGAUUAGCUAGUUGGUGGGGUAACGGCUCACCAAGGCGACGAUGCCUAGCUGGUCUGAGAGGGUGACCGGCCACACUGGAACUGAUACACGGUCCAGACGCCUACGGGAGGCAGCAGUGGGGAAUAUUGCACAAUGGGCGCAAGCCUGAUGCAGCCACGCCGCGUGUAUGAAGAAGGCCUUCGGGUUGUAAAGUACUGUCAGCGGGGAGGCGGUACCCGCAGAAGAAGCACCGGCUAACUCCGUGCCAGCAGCCGCGGUAAUUC
rnacentral:rRNA from 1 species